CAGUGCUUAACGCUGUUGUGCUAUAGAAACUGUUUUACUAGAGUGAGAUAGAGGCAAGCGGAAUUCCAUGUGUAGCGGUAAAAUGCGUAAAUAUAUGGAGGAACACCAGAGGCGUAGGCGGCUUGCUGGGUCUUUACUGACGCUGAGGCACGAAAGCGUGGGGAGCAAACAGGAUUAGAUACCCUGGUAGUCCACGCCGUAAACGAUGAGUACUAAGUGUCGGGUAAAACUGGUACUGAAGUUAACACAUUAAGUACUCCGCCUGAGUAGUACGUACGCAAGUAUGAAACUUAAAGGAAUUGACGGGACUCCGCACAAGCGGUGGAUCAUGUUGUUUAAUUCGAAGAUACACGAAAAACCUUACCAGGUCUUGACAUUUUCUUGCGAAGUUAUAGAAAUAUAAUGGAGGUUAUCAGGAAAACAGGUGGUGCAUGGUUGUCGUCAGCUCGUGUCGUGAGAUGUUAGGUUAAGUCCUAAAACGAGCGCAACCCUUGUCGUUAAUUGCCAGCAUGUAAUGAUGGGGACUUUAACGAGACUGCCAAUGAAAAAUUGGAGGAAGGUGGGGAUUACGUCAAAUCAUCAUGCCCCUUAUGAUCUGGGCUACAAACGUGAUACAAUGGUUGAUACAAAGAGUAGCUGAAACGCGAGUUCUUAGCCAAUCUCAAAAAAACAAUCUCAGUUCGGAUUGAAGUCUGCAACUCGACUUCAUGAAGUUGGAAUCGCUAGUAAUCGCGAAUCAGCA
rnacentral:rRNA from 1 species